CUGGCUCUGGUGAAGCAGCGAACAGAAGCUGCCUCUUCCUUCUGCUCUGGAGAAGGCAAAAGGAAGUUAUCUAUUAGCUGAUCCAAGCUAAGGCUUAAAGUACAAAGAAUCUUUGCAUCACCCCCAUUUUUCCUCUUGCAGAAAGCCCAUCCUUUCUUCUCUAGCAGAUAAUUUGUGCAUGUCGCAUGUGUUCUUUGGAAAUGACUCAUGCUGUGCUCGAUCUUGAUUCUCUUUCUCUGCAGCCUGCCAGGUUUUGUGCUCAUUUCUAAGUGCCCUGUACUUAAACAGCUUGUCCUGGCUGCUAUGCUAUUGUUCUGCACACAUGUGCUAUUGCCGCUAUUGCUGCCGGACUGUUUGUCUUUUGAUUCCAUGUGGCUUGAAGAUUAAGCCUCAAUGAGCUGCACUGUUAAGUUCACAUGAGUUUUCCUCAUCUCUCUGCCUGGCAGGUGACUUUGGCAUCGUUGUGCCUUGUGGGGCUACGUAUGCACUUAGGAAGUUCACAGGGUUCUAAGCUCUCCUUUCCUGGCAAAUGACCUGUAAACAUGCUCUCAAAGCCAAGCAGUUGAUUUCUCUGUUGUCCCCAUGGCCACACGCUGAGGAUCAGCUGUGUGCCACGUUUUUCCCCCCCUUCAGAAUAAUGGGAGAUUUCAAGGAGGUGAAUUGUCAUCCAUUGUUGGAUACCAGUUCUGUUGGGUUUCCUUCUCCGCCGAAAACAGCCGACAGGAAAGUAAUUACAGGAGCAGAUGUGACUUGUGACGUAAAUGUUACUUCUGGCCUUUUUUUUCCUUUAAGUAAUCCAACAGGGUGAUUCCAAAGCAGCAGUGAGACACAUGGGCCUAUGGUGGUCAUUUCCAGCUUUUCCUUGAUUCAGCCACAUCCGGGGACUAUUUGAAAUACCUUAAAAGACAUGUUUUGAAAUGAAAUUAACAAGUAAGUCAUGUUUUCAGAGCAGCUUCAAUAUAUGCAUCCUGCAUGAAUCCCACUGCUCUAUCCAAUGGCUUACUAAUGUCUGUCCUCAGCAAGAUAUUGAAGUGUUGCUUGUAAUUCCUGUGGAGUAAUAAAUCAGUAAGUAUUUUCACGUUUCUCUUAAAGACAAGUUACUUCCACAGUCCUGAAAUAAAGCUGGAUUAAACUAUUUAUCUUUGAAAUCACCUCGUUUUCAGGAUGUCAAGUAAUUUCUGCUGAAUCAGAUGCAGCUGCAACAGACUUUAAUUCCUAAUGAACUCACCUGGCAACAUCCACCCAAAGCUCACAUGGAAAAUGGAUGCAUGGGCUCUUACUGAGUGGGGGAUCAUCAGCCAGCAGCAGGGCCAGGAGUAACAGGUUUCCUGGGUCUCUGGAGCAAGGUGGUGAUUGGCUUCUCCAGAGCAUCUCCAAGAGGAAAGAUUGCUCCUACUGCUCCUGACACUUCAGCCAGAGGUGGAAGAGGCAGAGCAUGCCACUGCAAAGCCAUGCCAAGGGAACAGCAUGCAAUCCACAGUGGGAAUCUACUGUAUCACAGCCAAACCAAUAACAUGGACAGAUCCUUUCUCCAC